UACGGGGGGAGCAAGCGUUGUUCGGAUUUACUGGGCGUAAAGGGCGCGUAGGCGGUCAGCACAAGUCAGUUAUGAAAUCUCCGAGCUUAACUCGGAAAGGUCAACUGAUACUGUGCGACUAGAGUGCGGAAGGGGCAACUGGAAUUCUUGGUGUAGCGGUGAAAUGCGUAGAUAUCAAGAGGAACACCUGCGGCGAAGGCGGGUUGCUGGGCCGACACUGACGCUGAGGCGCGAAAGCUAGGGGAGCGAACGGG
rnacentral:rRNA from 1 species